rnacentral:rRNA from 1 species
GGUUGAUCCUGCCAGCAGCGAUACGCUCGCUAUCGAGGUUAAGCCAUGCAUGCUAGUUCUAUGGAAUUGCGGAGAGCUCAUUACAACAGUUGACGGUGCACUCCUGACUACGAUAACUUCGGAAAAGCUGGAGCUACUAACAAUAGCGUCCCAGUACCGGAUGAGUCUUUCGGCUGGAGUUUCCGCUUCUGUCCUAUCAGCUAGAUGGUCGGGUAUUGUCCGUCCAUGGCGACAACGGGUAACGGGGGAUUAGUGUUCGAUCCAGGAGAAGGAGCCUGAGAGACGGCUACUA